UACGGGGGGGGCAAGCGUUGUUCGGCAUUACUGGGCGUAAAGGGCUCGUAGGCGGCCAACUAAGUCGGAUGUGAAAUCCCCAGGCUUAACCUGGGAACUGCAUCCGAUACUGGAUGGCUUGAAUUCGGGAGAGGGAUGCAGAAUUCCAGGUGUAGCGGUGAAAUGCGUAGAUAUCUGGAGGAAUACCGGUGGCGAAGGCGGCAUCCUGGACCGACAUUGACGCUGAGGAGCGAAAGCUAGGGGAGCAAACGGG
rnacentral:rRNA from 1 species